UCGAGUUUUGAAGUGGGCUUGAUGCUGGCUUCCUCACCGAAGCAUGUGCUCAGCUCCGCGCUCAAAUCCACUCUACACCUGUGCACUUUCAAAGUCGUAGUCCUCCGUCAUGGGAGCCACAGAUUGUUAACUCAGUCUGUCGGGACUGCACUUUGCCCUUUAUCACAAACUAUUUCUAAUGUUUGUAGAAUGUGUUAGCCUUUAAAUGGGCGAAACUUAAUA
rnacentral:misc_RNA from 1 species